GCAUUCCCUGAAUCAAAGGUAAAUGUCUGGUCACUUCUAUUUCAGUUUAAUCUCUGCAGUUUAGAGUAACCUGUAAAGACUGAAUCAAUUCAGUUUCAGGCUUUCUGACUGUCUGUACUUAGCCCAGAAGCUGCUUCUGGUACCCUAUUUACUACCCUCUACCUCAGCAGGAGCAUGACUGUUCUUUCCAUGGCAAAUCCUCCCGGGGGGCUUAAUUCCACUUAGACUCCUUAGGGGAGAGGGAUGGGGGCCACACUGGCACACCUUCUAUACCAGGGGCAGGCAAUUAUUUUGGGCAGAGGGCCACUUACUGAGUUUUGGCAAGCCAUCAUGGGCCUCAUGCCAGGCAGCCCAGGUCAGAUAAAUAUUAAUUUUCUAAACAUUUCAAGGGCCGCAUUUUGCCCACCCCUGUUCUACACCAAUGCUAAGGGCUGAUGCACUGCCUGCCCCCCAUGCCCAGCUACACUACUUCUAGAAGUUGUUUUUGUCAGGGUAAAAUCAUAAUUAGGUUUCUUGAAUAUGUCACCACAUAAGGUCAAGGUGUUUAUGCAGCAUGCAUAAGUCCAAUUUCUUUUCUAUUUUGCUCAGAAAAUAACACAACACUGAAGAUGACUAAACUAUUUAGUCUGAUGAACUGUGCUGAAAAUCUGGUAACAACUGAUUCUCUUGUCAUGUAUACGUCAUGGAAUCAGGACAUGAAAAAUUCAGUUAACAUUUUCAAAAUCUUACAAAAGUUUGCUUCUUUAGACUAAGGAUUCCAACGUACUUCAUCAGUUGUUUGAGUUAAAAAAGGGGAAAAAAAAAAAAAGACUUAUGGUGUGGUGCUGAAAGAAAAUAUAUAAAAUAUAAAUUGUAUUCUUUCUUCCCCUUUUUGGAGUGAGGGUGAGGUUGGGGAAGAGGUGCUUAAUCUCUUGCCUAAUAAUGUAAUCAGCCUUUGGGGAUAAAAAAGAUUAUGUGUAGAUUAAUCAUUAACCAUCAAAGGACCUACUGAAAGAAACAUUUACUGGCAUAAAUUUCCUUUAACCAGCUGUUAUUGCUACAAAAAUUACUUUCAAAAAAUAAAUUCAAGAGGGGGGGAAAUACCAUUAAUAACAUGUUUUUAAAUAUCAGGGCUCAGCUGCAACAAAUAGCUGGUUUGGAGGUAGAUGUUAGAGUGCAAGUACAGCAAUUAUCUAAACUACUUGUUUGCAAAUGUUACUGAACAGGAUUGGCUUUCUGACAUCUAACACUUCUUGAAAUGCCUAGCCUCAGUGAUUAUGAAGCUGUGUCAUGAUACCUGAAAGCCUUUACAAAUUGCUUGUCUCUGAAAAUGCUAUUAAUUUUUAUGCAAACUUAAAUCGCUCCAAAGCUGUUCUGCAUUACUAUGCAAGACACUGAACAACUGAGAACAGGCCCCAAAUUAAGAAGUAUUCCCAGGAAUAGAAACAGCAAGCUUGUCAUGAAGAUUUCAGACCAUUCUUUCUUUGGAAUAGAACACUAUAGGCCAACUAGCUCACUGGAACUGUUCAGUCAGCCAGUGGAAAUCUAACAGUGGAUCUCUCUAUGAAGAAAAUGGAUGAUGCAGGAAGAAGUGAUGAUAACCAAUAUCUCUUACGGUUGUGAUACAGAUUACCAUUAAACAGUCACAAAGGCAUUAAGAAUGGGAGCAUUCACCCAUUAAAGGGUGUUAAUUCAUGCUCUAAAUGUUUUAAAGUUAUGCCAAUUCAAGCAAAGGUUAUCUUUGAUCCAUUUUACCAAGGUCAUUCCACGGUAUUGUUAAUUUGCUCCAGGGAGAUAAAAGUUCCUCAGGCAUCCCAGGAUGCACCAAUCUCAGUCGUUCCCACUCCUUUGUUCUAUGGGUGAACUCAACCCUCCUGAAUUCUAGUGCCCUGGAGAGUGGUGUUCUCCCCAAGCCAAAACAUCCUUCUGCUCCCAGCACACCCUGUCCACCCAGGUGCAGCUCCCACAGUUUGCUUCUUGCUCUUGCACCCCUGUGAAAAUAACUAUAGCAAUCCUACCUCCAUGAAAAGAAUGGGCCAGAGAAUGGAAACCACUAGGUGGGCUGGAAACUGGACCCAUGCUGAGGUGCUGGAAUUCACUGCCAUCAGGGGUAAAGAGAAAAUACCACUACUGCCAGGAGCUGGAAGUACAGCUUGCAGAACCAAGCAGCUUAUAAGAAUAUUGCCCCAGUGUGGCACGUAUGCUGUGAGUCCACUAAGUCUCAGCUCUGCCCUGGUGUGUGAUUACUAAUCUAGGUCCCCCUGCUAAUACAAUCCCAAUUCAGUGAAACAAGUACAAGAUUGUGGUCCUUUUUAUUUAUUUAUUUAUUAUUCUUUUUCACUUUCUCUUUACUUUUUCCCUCCUGCCAUUCAGUUCAAACAGUUUUCUCCCCCUUUCCUACCCUCCCACCCAUGGCUCCUGUUAGCUGUGGAGUGAAAGAAGCCACAACCUCCAUGAUGAUGUAUCUACCUGCAGGCUAUAUGCCACUAAACUGUUUAGUCUGAUGAACAGUGCUGGAAAUCUGAUGCUCUCCCUAGAACCUUCUAUGGACAAGUAGAAAACCAAUAUCAAAAACACUGAAACCACCUGAACGAUUAUUUGUAGAGCCUUAGGGUCUUGUUACACAUUGACUUUGAACUGCUCAAAUGUUGAUCAGUGAUAGUGCUAGCUCAAGUUUGGAGCAGUCACAUAUUCCAACCAGCAGGGGCUUUGCAGACUGAAAGGUAAGAACAAACUCCUCCCAUUCUGGGCUUCCGCCUUCCCCCUAGGGCUACCCCCUGCCUCCUUGGCCCUCAUGGCUCAUACCCUGUCCCCUAUGAUAUCCCUCAGCUUAUUUGUAGUCACCCGCCCAGCCCAGCCCAGCCCAGCCCAGAGAAUGGCAGCAGUGGCUGGGCAGCCAGGUUCUCCUUCCCUGCCUGCUCCCCCAGUACAGCACCAGCAGUCAAAAGACUGGGGAAGGCAGAAAGUGGUGAUUGGGGAUCUGGAGUUUGGGGUGGAGAGGGGGGGCACAAAUGGUGGGCCCAAUCCAUGGAAAGGGGCAGCAGGCCCAAUCCAGACUUAGAGUGGCUACCCCUUAGUGUUACACAAGCUGGGUAAUACAGAUCAGAGAAAAACCUAGCCUGGAGUGGUAAAACUUUAAACUGCCUAAAUGGUGCUUAAAACAAGUUUUAUGUAUUAAUGUGUGGACAAUCCAAGGGUUAAGCUCCUAUAACAAGGUCCUAAGGAAGGUCUACACAUCCAAGUGUCACUUUGAAGGAGUGCCUAACCACUAGGCUAUUACACAAGAUGUGAGCAAAAUAUGUUUUUGUAUAAACAUUUCAUUUCAGAUCAACAUUAAUAUCUAUAAGAACCACUGAACACCAAACCAUCCCUCGAGUUGCCAUCUGUCAUAGUAAACGUAAUCCUGAUAGGGAGCCAAAAUGACCAAUUCCAGUAACAAACAUACUGAAGUGGUUUGGACAGACCCAGAAAUCAACUGUUAACGUGACCUUAAAAUAAUCCAAUUCAUUAAAAAAUUUCCAUCAGGAAAGCAUCUUUUUUUUUUCUUUUCUUUUUUCUUCUCGUGGAAAAUUGUCAACAAAAUUCCCUUUUCUACCAGGAAAAUGGAGAAAAAAGAUUAACUAGCUGUAAUAUUAGAAUAUGAAGAUAGUCUGAUGAACAAAAAGAAAAUUAUCCCCUAGUAAUAUUUUAUUAAAAAGAAAAAGUGAGAGCAAAGCAGUAGAAAUAUUAGAAAAAGGAACACACCUUUUUUUUUUUUCAAAGUGGGGUGUGAGGGGAGAAAUAACUUCAGGAUAAAACAGAGCAAAGCAAACAAAAUCCAGACCUCUGAACUCUCCCCAGUAGAGGAAGGAAAAAAACAAUCUAACCAGUUUCUGACAAUGUUCAAUCAGACUUUGAGAGAGGGAAAUAGUUCAGAGUUAUAAUUUCAUCACAAACUGAAAAAAAGUAUGUCCCAAUUUCUGUACCUUUUGGGGAUAACCUUAGAUGUCAUCUACUCCUAUAUUUUAAAUUAUUUAAAUCUAUGGAUUCUAGCGUGUCAGCCUCAUUCAAGGCUGUUUCAAUUUCAGAGUCAGUUAAUCCACAAGAAAGGCUAAAAGCAUGAAUUUUAGAUCCAGAAUUUUUUUUUGUAUGACCUUUCCAAAUACUUUGCACGGGCCAAUAUUUUAUAGUAACAAAAUAAAAUUAUUCACAUUGUGAAGGUUUCUGUUGAAAAUGAAGAGCAGAUUACAGUGACAUUUUAGAUGUUAUUUCAAAGUAUACAAUCACAAGGGAAAAGGUGAAGGGCUGGAAGACUUGUUUACAUUGCAUACCCACUUACGCAAAAAUCCUCUCUCAAUGAAGGAAGAAUGGUGAGAUAACUCAUCUAUUCUAGAAGUAUUUUUUCCUUUGUUACUAACAAAUAUGUCCAAUGUAUUUGAACUUCAUACUAUGGAAUAAUUUUUGGGGAAAAAUACUGGGAAGGAUUGAAAAGAUUUCUGUGGGAGGAUGAAGGUUUUCCUUCAUUGAUAACACUAGCUAUUUAUACAAAGACGUAGAGCAGCUAUUUUCUCUAUGCCAAAGAGACAAACUAAUAAUUUCUUUUCAGGCUUAAAAUAAAGGGGAGAGACAGCCAUAGGCAGUUCUUGGAUUUUUAAAAAGGGGGUAUGAACUAUGUGACUGAUGUUGCAGGGAUGCUGCUGCAGUUGCCCCUCCGCCACUCCCCAUAGACAGACUGUACUGCAGCAGCAUUAGCCAGGGACUUUUUUGAGAUACCAAAGCAGGUAUAUACUGAACACCUCUCCCAUUCUCUCCUCAUGCUCUCCAGCAGGGGUUGCCUCUGGGUAUAGGAAGGGGAGACCUAUCUGCUGCCACCACUGUUCUUGGUUGACCCCAGGGCAGGGAAGCCCCAGAGGCACUCCUGUCCUACCCUACCUUGGGCUGCAGUUAGCUGGGAUCAGCUGGGGACAGAGGCAGCUGUGAGCGGUGUCCCCUCCCCUGCAGUACCUGCUCCCCAUUAGGUCCCCUCAAGUGUGCCCCACUGGUCAGAAGCAGGUGCUAAUGGAGAGAGAAACUGUCCACUGACACCCUGACCCUCCCUGGCACCCAAUAUAGCUACUCCCUGCAGCUGGGGCCUCUGGGCUGUGGCAAGAAAUCUGAGGGAAGGGACAGCAAGAAACUGCCUAAUGCUGCAGCUGCCAUCAGCACCACCUGCAGUCGCUCCCAGCAGCUCUUAGCUACAGAGGGAUAUGGGUGGUCUAGGGCUUCCUCUGCUCGUAGUCAGCUGGAGACAAUGGCAGCAGUGGUGAGCAGGUAUCCCUUCCUCACCUGCUCUCUGCUCCAUCCCCCCGGGUAUCCCCCAUUAGCCAGGGGCUCCAGCCAUGCCUCAGACUCCGCAUGGGACCCAGGCAUCUGUGAUGCAGAGAACUGGAGCAAUCCACCGGUGAACUAUACUCUUCAAGGAGGUGUAAUUGUGCCACUUCAGCAUCCCUCCCCACCAACUCCUAGACUCAACUUAUCUCCUUGGCAGAGUGCAACUCCAUGAAAGGCAGGGAAAUUAUCACUCACAGGUAUUCCUUCAGUUUUAAAAUCCAGCCAUAAUAUGGGCUCCUGUAAAAACCCUACCAUACACUUUAUGCUUAAUAUGCUUACUAGCAUUGGAGCAUUAAGUACUCAGUUCAGCAAGAUAUUUAAGCUUGUGCUUAAUAUUAAGCAUGUAUGAAUAUUCAUUUAAAUCUGAAGAAGUAUUCCCUUGCUGAUUCAAGGUCUUGAACACAUGGUAUUUAGCACUUCAGCUUAGUUACUCAAUACAUGUGAUUGCUUACCAAAAUACUCUGAAUCGGGUGAAACAAACUAAGUGCAUUAAUCUGAACAAGUUGUGAAAUACUAAUGUUUAAGUACAAUCUCUCCCUUCUCUCCCCCAGGUAUAAGGCUAGAAGCAGGUACCACGUUUGUGCCACCAUGACCAUUUUUAUGGCAGCACAGGGCAAAACCAAAUAGAUGUCUAUGCCCUUUGUCUUGCAAUAAAUGCCUUUGUAGCUAGACAAAAAGUAAUAAUAAUUUGUUUUGCUUUUUCAUGGGAGGCAUCCAUGUGCUUUAUGGGGAGAGAACAUGGGCAACCUAGAGCUACCUGCGCUCUUCCACUACCUCAGACAGGCGCUCCCAGGGCUUGAAGGUUCUGGUAUUGAGUGCCCUGAGAAUUCCCCACAUAGGAUCGGGCCCUUCAUUUCCCAGGAGUGCUUGGCCAGCUUUCCCCUCUUAAAGGGGAAUCUCCAGGGUAUAUCUUUCCCCUCUUUACAUAUGCUUGGGAAUCUUCAGGGCACAUCUCCAUAAGCAUGGAAACCUGGGGUUGCAGAGUUUCCUGGGUGGAUAUCUCUAACUAGGGAACAUGUUGCCCUUUGUUCUGCCCAUUGAUCAUGCAGGACAACAAGCAACGUGUGUUUCACCAAGUGAAGUAGAUCGGGUAUGCCAUGAUAUAUAAUCAUUAGGGAGUUAUACCUACAGAUCAAAGAGUGAAAGUAUCCCAUCACCUAUAUAUCUUCUUAAGACAGGGUACAUGAAAGUGCAAAUUACUUCAUUUUGGACGAUUUUUUUUUUUCCUUGGGAUGUAAAGUUUUACAUCCUAAAGGCUUUCAUGACAUUCCAAAAAUAAAUAAAACUGAUCUAUGAAUGGAUUUUGUUUUGCACAUAACAUACAGAAAACAUUAAAAUGUGUUAUUGCAUAAUUAUGCAUAUAUUAUUAUACAGUAUUUUAAGAACCCUUAAAUGAUGUAAAGCUGGUACAGUUUGAUAUAUUUUGUAUAUAUUAAUAAUCCCAAUUAGAUGCAGAACCCAAUUAUACAGAGACCCUCUUAGGCCAAUAAAGCUCAUUUUAUUUAGGUUUCUUCAUAAAGACUGAAGUUAAAAAAAUGGGGCUUUUUUGCUGCAACUAUGUAAUAUUAUCAUAACAUUU